AUUGAACGCUGGCGGCAUGCCUUACACAUGAAAGUCGAACGGCAGCACGGGUGCUUGCACCUGGUGGCGAGUGGCGAACGGGUGAGUAAUACAUCGGAACGUACCUUAUCGUGGGGGAUAACGCAGCGAAAGCUGUGCUAAUACCGCAUACGCCCUGAGGGGGAAAGCGGGGGAUCGCAAGACCUCGCGCGAUUAGAGCGGCCGAUGCCUGAUUAGCUUGUUGGUGGGGUAAAAGCCCACCAAGGCGACGAUCAGUAGCUGGUCUGAGAGGACGAGCAGCCAAACUGGGACUGAGACACGGCACAGACACGUACGGGAGGCAGCAGUGGGGAAUUUUGGACAAUGGGGGCAACCCUGAUCCAGCAAUGCCGCGUGAGUGAAGAAGGCCUUCGGGUUGUAAAGCUCUUUUGUCAGGGAAGAAACACCGGCUCUAACACAGUCCGGGAAUGACGGUACCUGAAGAAUAAGCACCGGCUAACUACGUGCCAGCCGCGGCCGUAA
rnacentral:rRNA from 1 species